rnacentral:rRNA from 1 species
CACGUAGGGGGCGAGCGUUGUCCGGAAUCAUUGGGCGUAAAGAGCUCGUAGGCGGCUCGGUAAGUCGGGUGUGAAACCCCCCAGGCUCAACCUGGGGACGCCACCCGAUACUGCUGUGGCUAGAGUCCAGUAGGGGAGUGUGGAAUUCCCGGUGUAGCGGUGAAAUGCGCAGAUAUCGGGAGGAACACCAAUGGCGAAGGCAGCUCGCUGGGACGGUACUGACGCUGAGACGCGAAAGCGUGGGGAGCGAACAGG